GUUAAAUUGGCAGAUAUUAUGCAGUUGGUUUAGGGCCAGAAGAAAAGAAUAGUUUUCUUAUUUAAUA
rnacentral:tRNA from 1 species